CAGCCGCCGCGGUAAUACGUAGGUCCCGAGCGUUGUCCGGAUUUAUUGGGCGUAAAGCGAGCGCAGGCGGUUUGAUAAGUCUGAAGUUAAAGGCUGUGGCUCAACCAUAGUUCGCUUUGGAAACUGUCAAACUUGAGUGCAGAAGGGGAGAGUGGAAUUCCAUGUGUAGCGGUGAAAUGCGUAGAUAUAUGGAGGAACACCGGUGGCGAAAGCGGCUCUCUGGUCUGUAACUGACGCUGAGGCUCGAAAGCGUGGGGAGCGAACAGGAUUAGAUACCCCAGUAGUCCCUGUCUCUUAUACA
rnacentral:rRNA from 1 species